AGUUAACGCUGGCGGCGUGCCUAACACAUGCAAGUUGAGCGGGGAGUGGCAGAGUAUCGCGCUCCUAGCGGCAGACGGGUGAGUAAUACGUAAACAAUCUGCCCCUGAAAGGGAGACAACUAGUCGAAAGAUUAGCUAAUAUCCCAUAUAAUCCUUUAGAGGCAUCUUUAAGGGAUGAAAGCAGAAAUGCGAUCAGGGGAGGGGUUUGCGUCCUAUCAGCUAGUUGGUGGUGUAACGGACUACCAAGGCUAUGACGGGUAGCCGAUCUAAAAGGAUGACCGGCCACAAGGGCACUGAGAUACGGGCCCUACUCCUACGGGAGGCAGCAGGUGGGGUAAUUUUGGACAAUGGACGAAAGUCUGAUCCAGCGACGCCGCGUGAAGGACGAAGGUUUUCGGAUUGUAAACUUCUUUUGCAGGGGAAAAAUACGCGCAAGCGUUUGAUUGUACUCUGUGAAUAAGCCACGGCUAACUACGUG
rnacentral:rRNA from 1 species